rnacentral:rRNA from 1 species
AGAGUUUGAUCCUGGCUCAGGACGAACGCUGGCGGCGUGCCUAAUACAUGCAAGUCGAACGAACGGAUUGAGGAGCUUGCUCUUCAAGAAGUUAGUGGCGGACGGGUGAGUAACACGUGGGUAACCUGCCCUUCAGCGGGGGAUAACAUCCGGAAACGGGUGCUAAUACCGCAUAGUUUCUUUUUCCGCCUGGAAGAAGAAGGAAAGAUGGCCUUUGUGCUAUCACUGAGGGAUGGACCCGCGGCGUAUUAGUUAGUUGGUGGGGUAAUGGCCUACCAAGACGAUGAUACGUAGCCGACCUGAGAGGGUGAUCGGCCACACUGGGACUGAGACACGGCCCAGACUCCUACGGGAGGCAGCAGUAGGGAAUCUUCCACAAUGGGUGCAAACCUGAUGGAGCAAUGCCGCGUGAAUGAAGAAGGUCUUCGGAUCGUAAAGUUCUGUUAUUAGUGAAGAACAAAUCGAGGAGUAACUGUCUCGAUUUUGACGGUAACUAACCAGAAAGUCACGGCUAACUACGUGCCAGCAGCCGCGGUAAUACGUAGGUGACAAGCGUUGUCCGGAAUUAUUGGGCGUAAAGGGAGCGCAGGCGGUUGGAAUAGUCUGAUGUGAAAGCCCACGGCUUAACCGUGGGAAGGUCAUUGGGAAACUGUUCCAACUUAGAAUGCAAAAAGAGGGUAAGUGAAAAUUCCAUUGUGUAGGCGGUGAAAUGCCGUAAAUAAUUGGGAAGGAACACCCGGGGGCGAAAGGCAACUUUUCUGG